AGAAAUGACUGUCUGAGGAAUGGAGC
rnacentral:piRNA from 1 species